CCUACGGGAGGCAGCAGUGGGGAAUAUUGGACAAUGGGCGAAAGCCUGAUCCAGCCAUGCCGCGUGUGUGAAGAAGGUCUUCGGAUUGUAAAGCAUUUUAAGUUGGGAGGAAGGGUUGUAGAUUAAUACUCUGCAAUUUUGACGUUACCGACAGAAUAAGCACCGGCUAACUCUGUGCCAGCAGCCGCGGUAAU
rnacentral:rRNA from 1 species